rnacentral:rRNA from 1 species
CCUACGGGGGGCAGCAGUGAGGAAUAUUGGUCAAUGGGCGUAAGCCUGAACCAGCCAAGCCGCGUGAGGGACGAAGGUUCUAUGGAUCGUAAACUUCUUUUAUAAGGGAAUAAAGUGAGGGACAUGUCCCGUUUUGUAUGUACCUUAUGAAUAAGCAUCGGCUAACUCCGUGCCAGCAGCCGCGGUAAUACGGAGGAUCCGAGCGUUAUCCGGAUUUAUUGGGUUUAAAGGGUGCGUAGGCGGCCUUUUAAGUCAGCGGUGAAAGGCUGUGGCUCAACCAUAGCAUUGCCGUUGAAACUGGGAGGCUUGAGAAUGUUAGAGGCAUGCGGAAUGCGUGGUGUAGCGGUGAAAUGCUUAGAUAUCGCGCAGAACCCCGAUUGCGAAGGCAGCCUGCCGGGC